CGAGUUCAGACUCGUGGCGAAUAGCUCAGUAACACGUGGCCAAACUACCCUUCGGAACACAAUACCCUCGGGAAACUGAGGCUAAUAGUGUAUACCAUACCACCACUGGAAUGAGUGGUAUGCCAAACGCUCCGGCGCCGAAGGAUGUGGCUGCGGCCGAUUAGGUAGACGGUGGGGUAACGGCCCACCGUGCCAAUAAUCGGUAUGGGUCAUGAGAGUGAGAACCCAGAGACGGAAUCUGAGACAAGAUACCGGGCCCUACGGGGCGCAGCAGGCGCGAAACCUUUACACUGCACGCCAGUGCGAUAGGGGGACUCCAAGUGCGAGGGCAUAUAGUCCUCGCUUUUGUACACCGUAAGGUGGUGUACGAAUAAGAACUGGGCAAGACCGGUGCCAGCCGCCGCGGUAAUACCGGCAGUUCGAGUGAUGGCCGAUUUUAUUGGGCCUAAAGCGUUCGUAGCUGGCCAGUCAAGUCUGUCGGGAAACCUGCUCGCUCAACGAGCAGCCGUCCGGCGGAAACUGAUUGGCUUGGGACCGGAAGACCUGAAGAGUACGUCCGGGGUAGGAGUGAAAUCCUGUAAUCCUGGACGGACUCCGAUGGCGAAAGCACUUCAGGAGCACGGAUCCGACAGUGAGGAACGAAAGCUGGGGUCUCGAACCGGAUUAGAUACCCGGGUAGUCCCAGCCGUAAACGAUGUCUGCUAGGUAUGGCACAGGCUACGAGCCUGUGCUAUGCCGCAGCGAAGGCGCUAAGCAGACCGCCUGGGAAGUACGUCCGCAAGGAUGAAACUUAAAGGAAUUGGCGGGGGAGCACUACAACCGGAGGAGCCUGCGGUUUAAUUGGACUCAACGCCGGACAUCUCACCGGCACCGACAGCAGUAAUGACGGUCAGGUUGAUGACCUUACUCGAGCUGCUGAGAGGAGGUGCAUGGCCGCCGUCAGCUCGUACCGUGAGGCGUCCCGUUGGGGGGGGCCAAGGGGCAGAGACGCAUCCCUAAUUUCCAGCAACAGUUCCGACUGGUUGGGUACAUUAGGAAGACUGCCAGUGUUCAACUGGAGGAACGAACGGGCAACGGUUGGUCAGUAUGCCCCGAAUGAGCUGGGCAACACGCGGGCUACAAUCCAUAAGACAAUGCGUCGCUAUCUGCUCAGACAACGCUAAUCUCAAAACCUUGUCGUAGUUCGGACUGCAGCUGACAUCGCCUCAUGAAGCAUGACCCGGUCCAGUCGA
rnacentral:rRNA from 1 species